AGUUUGAUCCUGGCUCAGAACGAACGCUGGCGGCAGGCUUAACACAUGCAAGUCGAACGCCCCGCAAGGGGAGUGGCAGACGGGUGAGUAACGCGUGGGAAUCUACCCAUCUCUGCGGAAUAGCUCUGGGAAACUGGAAUUAAUACCGCAUACGCCCUACGGGGGAAAGAUUUAUCGGGGAUGGAUGAGCCCGCGUUGGAUUAGCUAGUUGGUGGGGUAAAGGCCUACCAAGGCGACGAUCCAUAGCUGGUCUGAGAGGAUGAUCAGCCACAUUGGGACUGAGACACGGCCCAAACUCCUACGGGAGGCAGCAGUGGGGAAUAUUGGACAAUGGGCGCAAGCCUGAUCCAGCCAUACCGCGUGGGUGAAGAAGGCCUUCGGGUUGUAAAGCCCUUUUGUUGGGAAAGAAAUCCAUCUGGUUAAUACCCGGGUGGGAUGACGGUACCCAAAGAAUAAGCACCGGCUAACUUCGUGCCAGCAGCCGCGGUAA
rnacentral:rRNA from 1 species